CACACCACCCUUGCUGCCUCCCAGGGCCUCCCAGACAGGCCCGUUGGCCGGCUCUGCGGGGAGAGCCGGUGUCUGCACCAGGACCUGCCGGCGUUGGCCGCGGACAUGACGCCUGAGGACCAGGAGGAGACCCAGCCGCUCCUGCGGCCGCCGGGUGGCAGCGGCCGCCGCGUCUUCCUCGCCGCCUUCGCCGCUGCCCUGGGCCCGCUCAGCUUCGGCUUCGCGCUCGGAUACAGCUCCCCGGCCAUCCCGAGCCUGCGCCGCGCCGCGCCCCCGGCCCCACGCCUCAGCGACGACGCUGCCUCCUGGUUCGGGGCCAUCGUGACCCUGGGCGCGGCGGCGGGCGGCGUGCUGGGGGGCUGGCUGGUGGACCGCGCCGGGCGCAAGCUGAGCCUCCUGAUCUGCACGGUGCCCUUCGUGGCCGGCUUUGCCGUCAUCACCGCCGCCCAGGAAGUGUGGAUGCUGCUCGGGGGCCGCCUCCUCACCGGCCUGGCCUGCGGCGUUGCCUCGCUAGUGGCCCCGGUCUACAUCUCUGAGAUUGCCUACCCUGAAGUGCGGGGGCUGCUGGGCUCCUGUGUGCAGCUGAUGGUCGUCACGGGCAUCCUCCUGGCCUAUCUGGCAGGCUGGAUCCUGGAGUGGCGCUGGCUGGCUGUGCUGGGCUGUGUGCCCCCCUCCUUCAUGCUGCUGCUCAUGUGCUGCAUGCCCGAGACCCCGCGCUUCCUGCUGACUCAGCACAGGCGCCAGGAAGCCCUGGCUGCCGUGCGGUUCCUGUGGGGCUCUGAGCAGGGCUGGGAAGAGCCCCCUGUCGGGGCUGAGCACCAGCAGGGCUUACAGCUGGCCCAGCUGAGGCGGCCCGGCAUCUACAAGCCCUUCGCCAUCGGCAUCUCACUCAUGGUCUUCCAGCAGCUGUCGGGGAUCAACGCUGUCAUGUUCUACGCAGAGACUAUCUUUGAGGAGGCCAAGUUCAAGAACAGCAGCCUGGCCUCCGUCAUCGUGGGCGUCAUCCAGGUGCUGUUCACGGCCGGGGCGGCGCUGGUCAUGGACAGAGCCGGGCGGCGGCUGCUCCUGGCCUUGUCAGGUGUGGUCAUGGUGUUCAGCACCAGUGCCUUUGGCACCUACUUCAAGCUGACGCAGGGUAGCCCCAGCAACUCCUCGCACGUCGACCUCCUGGCGCCCGUCUCCGUGGAGCCCGCCAACCCCGGUGUAGGGCUGGCCUGGCUGGCGGUGGGCAGCAUGUGCCUCUUCAUUGCUGGCUUCGCUGUGGGCUGGGGCCCCAUCCCCUGGCUCCUCAUGUCGGAGAUCUUCCCCCUGCACGUCAAGGGCGUGGCCACCGGCGUCUGUGUCCUCACCAACUGGCUCAUGGCCUUUCUGGUGACAAAAGAGUUCAGCAGCCUCAUGCUCCCUCAGCAACUCCUACCCAUACCACCUUCUGAUUGCUACCAGUACCCACUUAUAGGUACCAAGGACGGUGGACACACGUGCUCUUCAGAGGUCCCCUGAGACUGCCUUGGGGCCUUCCCCUCGGGGCACAAGAUGGGAAGAACCAGCCCCAGCUGGCAAUCCAGUAUCAGCCCAGCCCAGCCCAGCCCAGCACUGUCAGACACAGGACCAUAGGGAAGAGGAGCAGGAUAAAGCAUUGCCACAGGACAGGUCCAGCAGAAGCUGUGCUCUACCCAGCCCACAUAAGACAGGUCUCUGUACUGGAUACGGUAGAAAUCUGCACUGCCUACCAAGAGUCACUCCAUCUCCAUCUCCAUCUCAUCCCGCUCCCCAUCCCCUCACCCCAACUCUUCCAGAAGAAUGCUGGCUUCUGGGAACCUAAAACAAGGCUUCUGGGUCCUAACGCCGCCCAGUGGCCACAUGCGGAAUUGCAUCAAUUGAAGCCUGAAGCGCUCUGCUUCCUCCCAGGGGCCAUGGGUAAGAAACCCUCUGCUACCACCUAGUGGCCAGUGUGGGGUUAGCACCUGUUCGGCCUGUGGCUGCAGGCAGCACCGCACCAACUGGAAGGAGUCAAAAAUCAAGGAGUGUCCACAGCCCUGGAAGCUGGAAGAGGCAAGGAAACAGAUUCUCCCCUAGAGCCUCUGGAAGGCAUGUAACCGUGCCAACACCUUGAUUUUACCCCAGUGAUACCCAUCUCCGACUUCUGACCUCCAAAGUCGUAAGCCCCAAAUUUCAGAAGCCGAAAGUGGAAAUGGGCUUAUCUCAAAGGGAUCUGUGAGCGUGACUUGCCUAAUGGAGUUAAUCCAGUAAGAUUCAUACAGGACUCACUAAGUUAAGAGGGUUAUAUUGGCAAAAACGCUACCAGCUGUGACUGAAAGGGGCCGAGACCGUACAACGUAAGAGGCCUUAGGACCCCUACACUCAUUCCCGCUUCCCAGGUAACGCAUUCCCGUCUUAUUGUCAAAAUGCCUCUAAAAUUGAAUUGAGUUAUCGGGAAGUUGCUUGGGUGGUGAAGAAUUUUCAUCAAUGCUCUGAGGAAGUCCAUUGAAAUAUCCCCUGACGCAGCAGAGAAUCCUCCAACGGACAGAAAGUUCAGGAAUCUCCUUUUGCAACAGUGCUGAUCAAACACUAUCAAAGUGUGUUUUUGACCCUGAAAUUACUGAAGCGGUUCCCUCCUGCCGAUUGAUUUUAUACUUUGAGAAUGCCAGGCCACCAACCGGUGGCAGCCCUGUUCACACUGAGAAGCUCAAGAGGAGUGUGAAGGUGUCGAGCUGGGCCUGAGUUGAAGGUCCGGGAAGGAGAAAACCUUCUUCACCUGCUACUCUGGGAACGCGACCAACUGAAAAAUCAGGAGCCAAGAACCAGUGUAGAUCUGUUGUCUGCGCUAAAACUACAACUCCCAUGAUCCUUAGCGCCAAGUCCCUUCCUGUCUCAGAGGCUCCAGGCGUUGGAUUCCGGUGGACCUGAAGAGCUUGUGCGACAUAGCAUGAUGGGAAAUAGAUUCUGGGAGCGAGAACUGGCGGAAGCCUCUCUAGGAAGCACGAUCCAGGAGCGUGCGCGGAUCACAAAGCUGGCACGGAGAGAACAGGCUUUGACUAGGAAGAGAGCACGGAGAUUUCUAGGGAAAAGAAGCGAGAGGCGCUGGAAGGCAAGUGCGCAUGACCGGAAGUGAUGCUGUUUUCGCGCGUCCUCUGGCGCGAGAAGAGGACGUGACGUUUGGCAGGACCCGAAGCCGGUUUCUCAGUUAGAGCGGUACCCGGUUACCUGCCUGCGGUAUUUUCCCGCGGUGUUUUGUUUGAGACUGAGUCGUUGGCUGCGCCUCGGGCUCCCCAGCCGAGGCCUGGCUGUGGCUGGGAGACAGUGAAAGACCCAGCUGGACAGCCCCCGCCCGAGCUCCCGGAGCCCAGCACCGCAGGCUCAGACCCGGCCUCGGGGGAAGGCGGGAGAGAGGAAUCCGCGGGCAGAGCAGGGAAGCGACGCUGGCGCCCGGAGAACUGCUGGGAGGCGGUGUCGCGUGGUGAUACCCGAAUGCUGGAGGAAGAAUCAUGAUCUCCAGACCCUAACCUUUCCCAAGAGGAAAGCACGGGAGAGGAAGGAAUGGGAAUGGUGACUAGUCUCCUCACAGCAGGGCCACAUGGAUCCACGCCCUUCAGCAGUGUGACUGCAGCUUUUCCUCACAAAGAGUGGAGGCACUUGGUCCGAGCUCCAAGGGAAGGAGAUACCAGAGAAGUCCAGGAACCUGGUCCUACUGGCUCACCCGAGGCUCCCCGCAGCCUGCUUCCUCUUCCAGCUGCCCUUCCAAGGUGGUCCUGGCGUGGCUCACACCUACUCCAACAGCAGCUCUGGGCUCUGAAGUGGCUUCACCUCUGGACUCCUCACAGCCUGAUUCCACUCACACGUCUGCCAAGAUGGUCCUAGCACAGCUUGCCCCUGGGACUUGUGGCUUACACCCGCCACAACUAAAGCUCCAGGCCCCAUUGUGACUUUCCCUGGACUCCGCAGCCUGAGCCCCUCCAACUGGCCUGCCAAGGCACGUCAGAGCACCUGUCCUCAGGACGCCUGCAGCUCUUACACAGGCCACUCCAGAAGGUGCUGUUUUGCCUAAUUCAUAGAAACAGCCAAAUGAGACAGAGAAAUAUGUCCCAAAUGAAAGAACAGGACAAAAGCCCAGGAAAAGAAAUGAGAUGGAGACAAGUAAUCUACCAAAUAGAGUUCAAAACACUGGUUAUAAGGAUGUUUAGUGAACCCAGGAGAAUAGAUUAACUCAGCGAGAAUCACAAAGAGGUAAGACAUAUAAAGCAACUAGUUACGUACAAAGGAGCCCCCAUAAAACUAUCAGCUACUUUUCAGAAAUUUUGCAGGCCAAAAAGGAAUGGUACAAUAUAUUCAAAAUAAUGAAAGGGGGGGAAACCUGUAACCAACAAUACUCUACCCAUGUAUCCUUUAGAAUUGAAGGCUAGUUUCCUAGACAAGCAAAAGCUAAACCAGCACCAGAGAUAAAAAGUUAAAGGGAUUUUAGGUGGGAAAGAAAAUUCCUUUAAACUAAAAGAAAAUGUAAGGGUGACCUCAGCAUUAUGGCAGUGUGUGGAAACUCCUUUUUAUCUCCCCUUACAUCGGCAAUCCAAUAAAGCCUGAGAUGUCCAUGCAUCUGAAAGGCAGGGGUAUUGGAAUGCAUAGGGGAGGCAGGAUUAGAUGCAGUUCGGUGGCCCCACAUAACACAGUAGCAAGGGAGGUGUUGGGGUGUGCCCCCACACUAUGACCCUGCAAAAACAAUAUUGGUGGCCAAGAAUCUGGCUCCCUUCCUCUCCCCCCACUUGCAGCAGAGCCAGGUAGCAGCAGUGAUGGUGCCCAUUAGGAACAAGAGGCAGCCCUGUGGGUGUGUGAACCCAGCUCCUGACCACCCACUCCAUGGUGGUUGCGCCCAAGACUGAGGGGACCCAGACACAGUGGGGACUCCUAUAAUAACCCCUGAAGCACACACAGCACAAGAAAAAAAAACCUGAAAACUUAGCACUAUGUCACCUUCUACUGAUAAACAAAACAGAGCCUCUAAUUAUCAACCUAUUGAAUCUUUAAGAUCAAAACAGUAUCUAAACAAGGAAAGAAUCCACUACCUCAAAUGCACAGGCAGAGGAACGAUCCCUUAAGUGCCAUGAACAACCAGGGUAGCAUGUAACUUCCAAGUGUCCAGAAACCAAUCUGAAAGACAUGGAAGACAUAUCGAUUCCUGCCAUGAAGAAACUCAACAUACAAGAAAACUGGGAGGCAGUUCAGGCGAGGUCAGGAUAAAAUCAGUGAGCAAACGGAGUACUUUACCAGAAAGAACCAAACCAAUUCUGCAGCUGAAGGACUGCCACUGAAUGAGAUGAGGAGCACACGAGGCUCCGGCCGAUUCCUAGCCUGUGUCAAGCUUAGUGGAGCUUCUUCCCAUACACAUAAAGAAACAGAAUUUCCGGAGGAUGAGGCCCAGAAAUCAGGAUUUUAAAAAGAUUCCCAGGUGAUUCUAAUGUGCAGCCCAGGUUGAGAACCACUGCCUUACACCAAACGGGUUGCGGACUGGAUCCCGUGGGGCACAUACAGGAGGCAGCUGAAUGUGUCCCCUUUCCUCUCUAAAAAUCAAUGUACAUAUCCCUCAGGUGAGGAUUAUCAAUAAAAUACAUAAAAAGCAUUGGAAAUACAAUAAACCAGAUGGAAGACAGAAUUUGUGAAACUGAAAAAAAUAACGAAAAAUCUAGAAUUGACAAGAUCUUCACAAAACUAGGGAGAGAACUAGACAAUCCAGUACAAGCAGCUAACAGGACAUGAAAUUACCUCUGCAAAAAGACCCCUAAGACGCAUUAAAACUGUCAAAAGCUACUAACAGCCAGGCCACUGGGGCUCGGUUGGUUGUCAUCCCAUGAAGCAGUCACGGUUCAUUUCCGGGUGAGGGGAUGUGCAGGAGGCAGCGGAUGAAUGUUUCUAGCUCUCUCUCCCUCUCUUUCUCUGAAAUCAAUAAAAACAUUU